rnacentral:tRNA from 1 species
GCCGAAAUAGCUCAGUUGGGAGAGCCUUUUAGACUAUAGAUCGAAAUGUCCCUGGUUCGAUCCCGCAUUCGGGCA